CAGAAUAUUUACUUUUGUGUCCUGUAUUAUACAGAUGCUUCAGCUCUAACCAGCAGGACAAAAUCGGAUCUGAAGGCAAAAAUGCUAAGGAAAUUCAUGAAAAUAUCUUGAAGAGAAAUAGCAAGGAAGCAUUUCAGAACAAAGAAGAAUGAGGCUAUUCUGAGCUAAAAUGACAAUGUAAAAUAUACAUUGUUCUUUUUGUCAAGCGCUUUCUAAAAAUAGAGGUCUAUGAGAUUCUCUGCAUAAUCACACCAUUGAAACUCCUGCUGGGCAGCCGUGUAAAACAGUAGCUUAAACUACCCUAUGAAGCAAGAUGCUGGUCUGAAAGUAACAAGGCAGAUUUGGGAACCUUGGAAAGUCUGUGAUGGGGGUGCCUGGGUGUGUACGCAGAAAGUGGAACGGCCAUUUCAAGGUUAAAAAAGGUGCUUAGGAGAUUGCUGAGAAUUUUAACAAAAAUACCAGUAACCACAUUCCAGAAGAACACACAGAGUGGGAACAGGCUUCUGCCCUACAGGUUGUCCAUCAUGAGAUGCAGACAUAAAGACUUAAAGAUUUAUGCCUCAUAAUUUAAACUGUCGGAUGCCUCAACCUCCUUCUGGUAUUUUACAUUGCUGACUUAACAUAGUUCCUAUUUGAUAUAUUCAUCCUUUCAUCUUACAAUAGUUAAUUCAUGAGUCAAACGCUCAGCUACUAGAUUUCAAUUUUACCAUUUGCUGUUUCACAUCCUCUGAGGAUUUUGUUAAAAUUCUUGAUAAAAAGUUCCUCCUAUUUUUCUCGUAAUACUUGGCCGCAUUUAAUAAAGUCCCA
rnacentral:lncRNA from 1 species